AAACGAAAGAGCAUACUUUUUUCUAUAUAAUGGCAUAUUCUUUAGAGAUCUAUUUUAAAUAGUUAAAAUUUUAUUUAGAAUAUAGACAAAAUUUUAGUAUCGUUCGAUAGCGAAUUUUCACGGUUUUUUCAAUUAUAAAUUGAAAAAAAGUGAUAUUUCUAAGCCGAUUUUCGAACAUCUGUCCAUUCCAAACGAAAGAGCAUACUUUUUUCUAUAUAAUGGCAUAUUCUUUAGAGAUCUUUUCUAAAUAGUUAAAAUUUUAUGAGGAAUAUAGACAAAAUUUUAGUAUCGUUCGUUAGCGAAUUUUCACGGUUUUUUCAAUACUAAAUUGAAAAAAAGUGAUACUUCUAAGCCGAAUUUCGAACAUCGGUCAAUUCCAAACGAAAAAGCAUACUUUUUUCUAUAUAAUGGCAUAUUUU